rnacentral:rRNA from 1 species
AGUGAACGCUGGCGGUAGGCCUAACACAUGCAAGUCGAACGGCAGCACAGUAAGAGCUUGCUCUUACGGGUGGCGAGUGGCGGACGGGUGAGGAAUACAUCGGAAUCUACUUUUUCGUGGGGGAUAACGUAGGGAAACUUACGCUAAUACCGCAUACGACCUACGGGUGAAAGCAGGGGAUCUUCGGACCUUGCGCGAUUGAAUGAGCCGAUGUCGGAUUAGCUAGUUGGUGGGGUAAAGGCCCACCAAGUCGACGAUCCGUAGCUGGUCUGAGAGGAUGAUCAGCCACACUGGAACUGAGACACGGUCCAGACUCCUACGGGAGGCAGCAGUGGGGAAUAUUGGACAAUGGGCGCAAGCCUGAUCCAGCCAUACCGCGUGGGUGAAGAAGGCCUUCGGGUUGUAAAGCCCUUUUGUUGGGAAAGAAAAGCAGCAGGUUAAUACCCCGCUGUUCUGACGGUACCCAAAGAAUAAGCACCGGCUAACUUCGUG